rnacentral:lncRNA from 1 species
CUGCAUCAUAGUGGAACCAAGGAUCAAAUCCUAAAUUAUUUGAUAUAAACCUUUGUGGAGGCCUGGAUAUGCAGACUUUCUACUUCGCAUGCACGUCAGACGCCGCAGGAAAGCAUGAUGAACUCCAAUCCAAUUGGCUUCGCAACUCAAUUAAUCGAGAGAUGUGAUGUGAUGAUAUGACACCUCACACCAGCAGGUAGGAUGCCGAAGAAAGAUGCACACCCA